UUGUGCAGAGCUGCAACCGGUGUGGUUGACAGGGAAUUUCUAUAUGCUAGUGUCAUAUGCACUUUUUUUUUUUGAUUGUCUGCUACCAUUUUUUUGCUGAUACUUCUUUGAAACAUUUGCUACUUGGGCUGGUGAUUGACAUAAAUACUUGUUAUUUAUAUUCAGAUGGAUUCCUCCUUGUUGUAUUUAUCUUUGUCUAGUUAUGCAGCAUAGUUAUUCCUCCAUAGGCAUCACCCAGCUUGCUUGUGAAUGCCGCUAUUUAUUGUAAUUUUCAUUGUCUGCUCUAUUUUUAUGGCUGAUAUACAUGUGCUGUCUUUUGCGAUAGUUUGAUUUGGUAUUUUUAAUUAGUAUCCACAGAAAAGAUCGGUAAUUCAUGUAUCAUGGGGUCUGCCUUUGUUAUUAACUUUAUGUCAUUUAUUUUGCAAAGGCAAUAUAUACUGUUGAAUUAUUUAUUUUAGUAAACUUGUUGAGGGGA
rnacentral:lncRNA from 1 species